rnacentral:rRNA from 1 species
CCUACGGGAGGCAGCAGUGAGGAAUAUUGGUCAAUGGGCGAGAGCCUGAACCAGCCAAGUCGCGUGAGGGAGUACUGCCCUAUGGGUUGUAAACCUCUUUUGUCGGGGAGCAAAAGCCGGACGUGUCCGGCUGUGAGAGUACCCGCAGAAAAAGCAUCGGCUAACUCCGUGCCAGCAGCCGCGGUAAUACGGAGGAUGCGAGCGUUAUCCGGAUUUAUUGGGUUUAAGGGGUGCGCAGGCGGAUUUUUAAGUCAGCGGUAAAAUCGUGGGGCUCAACCCCAUCCAGCCGUUGAAACUGGGGAUCUAGAGUGUGCGAGAGGUAUGCGGAAUGCGUGGUGUAGCGGUGAAAUGCAUAGAUAUCACGCAGAACCCCGAUUGCGAAGGCAGCAUACCGGUGCACAACUGACGCUCAGGCACGAAAGCGUGGGUAUCGAACAGGAUUAGAUACCCUAGUAGUC